rnacentral:rRNA from 1 species
UCCAAGGCUAAAUACUCCUGACUGACCGAUAGUGAACCAGUACCGUGAGGGAAAGGCGAAAAGAACCCCGGCGAGGGGAGUGAAAAAGAACCUGAAACCGUGUACGUACAAGCAGUGGGAGCACCUUUAUGGUGUGACUGCGUACCUUUUGUAUAAUGGGUCAGCGACUUAUAUUCUGUAGCAAGGUUAACCGUAUAGGGGAGCCGCAGGGAAACCGAGUCUUAACUGGGCGUUAAGUUGCAGGGUAUAGACCCGAAACCCGGUGAUCUAGCCAUGGGCAGGUUGAAGGUUGGGUAACACUAACUGGAGGACCGAACCGACUAAUGUUGAAAAAUUAGCGGAUGACUUGUGGCUGGGGGUGAAAGGCCAAUCAAACCGGGAGAUAGCUGGUUCUCCCCGAAAGCUAUUUAGGUAGCGCCUCGUGAACUCAUCUUCGGGGGUAGAGCACUGUUUCGGCUAGGGGGUCAUCCCGACUUACCAACCCGAUGCAAACUACGAAUACCGAAGAAUGUUAUCACGGGAGACACACGGCGGGUGCUAACGUCCGUCGUGAAGAGGGAAACAACCCAGACCGCCAGCUAAGGUCCCAAAGUCAUGGUUAAGUGGGAAACGAUGUGGGAAGGCACAGACAGCCAGGAUGUUGGCUUAGAAGCAGCCAUCAUUUAAAGAAAGCGUAAUAGCUCACUGGUCGAGUCGGCCUGCGCGGAAGAUGUAACGGGGCUAAACCAUGCACCGAAGCUGCGGCAGCGACACGAUGUGUUGUUGGGUAGGGGAGCGUUCUGUAAGCCUGCGAAGGUGACCUGUGAGGGUUGCUGGAGGUAUCAGAAGUGCGAAUGCUGACAUAAGUAACGAUAAAGCGGGUGAAAAGCCCGCUCGCCGGAAGACCAAGGGUUCCUGUCCAACGUUAAUCGGGGCAGGGUGAGUCGACCCCUAAGGCGAGGCCGAAAGGCGUAGUCGAUGGGAAACAGGUUAAUAUUCCUGUACUUGGUGUUACUGCGAAGGGGGGACGGAGAAGGCUAUGUUAGCCGGGCGACGGUUGUCCCGGUUUAAGCAUGUAGGCUGGUUAUCCAGGCAAAUCCGGAUAAUCAAGGCUGAGGUGUGAUGACGAGGCACUACGGUGCUGAAGUAACAAAUGCCCUGCUUCCAGGAAAAGCCUCUAAGCAUCAGGUAACAUCAAAUCGUACCCCAAACCGACACAGGUGGUCAGGUAGAGAAUACCAAGGCGCUUGAGAGAACUCGGGUGAAGGAACUAGGCAAAAUGGUGCCGUAACUUCGGGAGAAGGCACGCUGGUGUGUAGGUGAAGUCCCUGCGGAUGGAGCUGAGACCAGUCGAAGAUACCAGCUGGCUGCAACUGUUUAUUAAAAACACAGCACUGUGCAAACACGAAAGUGGACGUAUACGGUGUGACGCCUGCCCGGUGCCGGAAGGUUAAUUGAUGGG